rnacentral:lncRNA from 1 species
ACAACUUGUUCCAUGAGGCUUCGGGAAACUCCUUCCGCAAUGUAUACAUUCCCACCGAUUGCGGGCAUCCACAUGAUGUAGGCUAAGGUGCUUGUCCAAGUCGCCCAACAUCAUAAAGGAAAGGUGGACAUCCCUUUUCUCGCAAACCGGACAAGCAACGCUGUCUCCCAUUAACGGCACCAUUAUUUUGAAGCUCAAGUCCAGGGACAUAGCCAAGUCAUCAACUAUGAUCCGCUCCGAAGCGGAUGAAUCCGCUACAGCGCUUCCGGGACUGAGAAGCACUGCGUCCGAGGUGUUUCAAUCCCUUUCUUCAUUCCCUAAAAAACCGUUAGAUCGGCAAACCGAUUUAUUAUUUGAAUUAUAACUUCGUCUUGCGCUACUUCGUCGCCAGAGCGUUUAUCCGGGCGGAUGAAAGGAUAAACUUUAUGUGUAGAAGACGUCAUGCUCAGCCCGAAACCCUGGGGCACAUUUUAGGACUGUAUCAACACAAAAAAAGGAGUAAGAAACAAGAGGCAUAACAAGGAAAUGGAGUAGUUCUCAUUCCGAAGCCGUGUAGAGAG